rnacentral:rRNA from 1 species
ACUAGGUGUUGUCUGUAUCGACCCGGACAGUGCCGUAGCUAACGCGUUAAGUAUCCCGCCUGGGGAGUACGCACGCAAGUGUGAAACUCAAAGGAAUUGACGGGGCCGCACAAGCGGUGGAGCAUGUGGUUUAAUUCGAAGCAACGCGAAGAACCUUACCAGGUCUUGACAUCCCGAUGCUAUUUCUAGAGAUAGAAAGUUACUUCGGUACAUCGGUGACAGGUGGUG